AUUUUGACAUGUUUGCCUGUUUGGUAAUGCAAUUUGCAUUGGGGUUGUGAGGUGGAGAGCAUCGGAUCAGAAACUCUCGAGUCUCGGAUUAAGAUACAAAACAGAGUUGGGGAGAACCAGCAGCAACCGUCGAUCCUGCUUAACGAUUCGUGCGCCGUUAACGGUUUGCUGCUGCAGAGUUUUCCCCUCCCUGCACUGCCGGGACGCAGUCGCCGGCCGGAUGCCAUUUUCGGCACCGUGAUUUUGUUCCUCUCGCCGACGACCUCCGCCUCCUACGCGGCGUCAAGCACCGGCACCGAGCCCUCGGCAACCCCUCCCCUCGCCGACUCCCCGCCCGCCGUACUCCAGAUCCUGUAAUGCCAACCAGACGCCAUGUUCAGUAUUCGUCUCUUCCUACAGAGGACAGAGAUAACCUACGGUUCACAUAUACUCCAAAAUCGCAUAGGAAAAUUCCAUGGAAGUCAAUUGCCCUAGCACUUUUUCUCCUCCUCAUAGGAAUGUCACUCCUCUCCCUGUCAUAUUUUAUAUUCACAAGUCACAUGGAGGGUGAUGAUUCUCAGGCAUAUGAUCUCUUAUUCCUGGGUGUGCUUGCUUUCGUUCCUGGCUAUUACGAGACUCGAGUUGCUUACUAUUCGUGGAAAGGAGCACCAGGGUACACCUUUGCAUCCAUCCCAGAUUAUUAGCCAUUUACUUCUCCAGAAGACCUCGAGUGUGGUCGUCACAUGGGAAGGCCAAGCACGUAGAAAAUUAAAUGAGCCAGAAAUGGAGCUAAAAAAAUGAACACCUGUGCAUGAUAUAUAUUGUGUCAAAAUAUCCUCUGAAACCCUGUUGUGUUCAUUCAUGGAUUAACUUGGCAACAUUGCAAUAAUGCUGCUCACAGGGCUAGCAACAUAGGUACAUAGCCAGUUUUGGGUUCUCUCUUUGUUAAUUUUUUUCUUGUUGCUGGAUUACAUGUUUCCACUUCGGAUUUGUUAUGGAUUGUGCAUAGAGUUUCCUGGUCAUACUGAUUCGGUGUCUGUGUACUGUUUUUUUUAGAGAAGCAUCUGUGUACUGUAGCUGCCCCAAACUAAUCAUAAGGCCGGCUUGUCUUUUA